ensembl:snRNA U6 U6 spliceosomal RNA
GCUCUCUUCAGCAGCACACACUAAAAUUGGGAUGAUACAGAGAAGAUUAGCAUGGCCCUCCGAAGUACAAGGAUGACCUGCAAAUUCAUAAAGAAUUCCAUAAAAUA